CUGAAACAUAUUCAUUUUAGUAAGAAUAAGGAACCAGAGUAUAGCGUUUAUAAUACAUACAGAGAUUUAAGAAAAUAAGAGUUAAUGAACAAAUUGAGCAUGGAGCUGGAUAAAUUUAAGAGUUAACUGUUUCUUUAAUAGAAAACCUUUGGGAAUUUAUGCAUAAUUAAAUGUGACAAUGGGCGGUGAAAAGAGAUGCUCAGAUUUAAGGAAAACGUAGGGAGAACCGUGUACACAUGUUUCAAAAAUAAAUAAUUACUUAAAUUAUCAAAAUUAAAUGUUUAAACCUCAUGCGUUCGGCUAAUGAGCGUGCAAGAGGGACAUAACAGGGACAUGUGUGAUAGAUAAGGAGAAACGGAAAGCUUGUAAAAAGCCGUUCGUACGUGUUUCGACUAAACAAACUUAUGUAAGAAACAGGUGAGUAUAAGCGGUCGGUUAAAGAUUUUAACGAAAGAAAAAUGAAAGCUUGUGUACUCUGCGUUCGGCUAGUAGCCGCACGAACGCAGAAGUACAUGAACAGCGUAAAUACACUAACGGGUAAGUAAUGUAGGGAGCCUAUACCUGCGUUUUAGGCCCGAACGUGGGAAAUAGCCGAACGCUAUUUCCCACGUCGAUGCUUACGUGAGCAUGCCGGUUCCGUGACCAGAAGCCAGAUAGCCGGGUAACAAGUGCGAAAUACAGCAGGGCAGCCGGUGGACGGGCCCAGAGGUCGGCGGCAGGAGCUGCUGAAGAUAGACUGUUUGUACGAGGCAGGACUGGCGGGAACAACGAACAGGAAGUGCAGGUAACUAUGGAGACAAACCAACUUGACCAGCAAAGGUAAGUAGGGGGUAGGGUUUAUAUAGG